rnacentral:lncRNA from 1 species
CUCCAUCCGGUUCAACAGGUUCCGGUUCAUCUUUCGCUUCGUCUGGUACGGUUCCCGGAGAUUCCUCUUUCGGAUCUGUAGAGUUCGACUCGUUUACCGAAUGGUUCUCCCGCUCGGACUCUUCCCUGCUAUUAACGGGGCGUCGGGUAAUGUUCUCCGUUUCGUUUUCUUCCUUUUUUUCACUUCCCUUUUCUCGCUCCAGAUCCGAUUUUUCAGUUUCCUUUCCGUUCUUUGUCAAGCUCUGUUCUCUCUCUUCUUUUAAUUUCUGCACCUUCAUUUGUAAGGACCUGUAAAAGUAACAGAAAAAUGUUAUCGAUUUUUGCCCCCACCCCAAAAGAAGUAAUUUAAUAUUUUUAUAAAAAAUGAUUUAGUAAUAAUUUACACGAUAGAGAGAUCAUAUUGUUGGACUUCGCGGCGUAGUUCGGCGACGCGGAGUCUCCGGAGCUCAUCAAGCCAAGGAACGGUGAUGGUGGAGUUGUUGUUAUUAGUAGUUUCGCAGUCGUCGUUGUCGUUUUCAGCGAAACGGCGUUUAAGGUCUUGAAACUUCUGUUGACAAGAAAGGGGAGUAAAGAAGAGAUGUUGGAACGUAGAAGUUCGCUUCUGUAGUUCCAUAGCAACGGAGUCCCAACUGUUGUUACCGUAACGAUGAACGGCGCAGGCGAGUAAAAGCUCCUCCCAAGUACCCCAUGUUUGUUUUUCGGGAAAGCUGUGGGGUUUAGCCAUGAAAUAAAUGAAAAGAAGAGGAGGAAAAGAUAUUAAUAGUAUCGGUCACGGUUCAAUAAUAGGUCUCUUUUUGCGAAUAAAUAAGUACCUUUUUAUUCAAAUAAAAUUUUCUAUUUAUGAUUCGUUUGUACUCUAGAAAUUUUAAGGGAAUAUCUAGGCAGCUUCAAUUUCAUUUCUAUUGUAGGUUAAAAUCAUCUUCAAAUAUCUUCCUCGUAUAUUAUUUUCGGUUUUUUUUAAAAAAAUUAUAAUUUAAAUCUAAUUAUUAACAUCAUAAAAAAAACCUAUUCACAUUUUAAAAUAAUAAUAUGUAUUUACAAAAAUUUUAAUAAUGUUAAUUAGAAAUAUAUAUAGUAACACUAAAAUCUAAAUGAAUGGAGUUGGAGAAUAUUUUUUAUUAUUCAUUAUUUUGAAGUAUUCUACUCUCAUUGAAUAUAGGAGGGGUGUCAUGAAUUUAGAAGGUAAUCAGUAAAUUGAAACAAUUGGAAAGGGAGCCCUAGGAUGCCGAACCAGAAGGAACAGGCCUAAGGUUAUUGGGCUGAUUGAUGGACUUAAAGAAGGAGGGUGAGGCGGACCAAGUUAGCACCAAUUGGUAGCGGGCUGAUUCCUACAGAAAGCCCAAGAGACUGAUUUAAUGACUUUUCCUCUGAAUGGAUCGCUGAUGACUCAUUUGCUAUUUUAUUUUCAUUUUCCUCUCAUGCUAGCUGUUAAAAAAAGUGAAGUAUCUGGUACAGUUUGUUACAACAGAAUUUCUAUUAUAUUCUCAAGGCAUGGAAUGAAAUCAGUAUUUUCC